CAAGCCUGUUGGUAGUCACCCUUUAGAUGUGUAUAGGAGAGAAUACAUGCAGGUAGAAGUCAAUGGGUUUGCAGGUGACAUUGUAUAUCAGCAUCAUUGUGGCAGUAGAUAAUAUGCACAUGUUGGUAAAUAAUUAGUGCCUUCUCUGAGCAUGAGGAAGCUAGAAGAGCAGUGGAAGAAUUAAAACUUACCAGGAUUGCCAAUCUCCCACAGUGUGACCUGCUCCAGAGUGCAGGGAAGUUGAAAGGAGGCUAAAGAAGUUUGUGACAGGAAGGGACACACAUGGAGGAGAGGCAAGGAUUAAUCAUCUUGUGUGCUGAGAGAUACCUGGGAAAUAAUCUGCAGGUCCAUAUUUGUGGAGGUCAGUGGACAAUAUU
rnacentral:lncRNA from 1 species